rnacentral:rRNA from 1 species
GAUGAACGCUGGCGGCGUGCCUAAUACAUGCAAGUCGAGCGAACAGAUGAGGAGCUUGCUCCUCUGACGUUAGCGGCGGACGGGUGAGUAACACGUGGAUAACCUACCUAUAAGACUGGGAUAACUUCGGGAAACCGGAGCUAAUACCGGAUAAUAUAUUGAACCGCAUGGUUCAAUAGUGAAAGGCGGUUUUGCUGUCACUUAUAGAUGGAUCCGCGCCGCAUUAGCUAGUUGGUAAGGUAACGGCUUACCAAGGCAACGAUGCGUAUCCGACCUGAGAGGGUGAUCGGCCACACUGGAACUGAGACACGGUCCAGACUCCUACGGGAGGCAGCAGUAGGGAAUCUUCCGCAAUGGGCGAAAGCCUGACGGAGCAACGCCGCGUGAGUGAUGAAGGUCUUCGGAUCGUAAAACUCUGUUAUUAGGGAAGAACAAAUGUGUAAGUAACUAUGCACGUCUUGACGGUACCUAAUCAGAAAGCCACGGCUAACUACGUG